GUUGUGGUGCCGGAGCUGCUAGUCCUUGGAGGUGGUGGUGCUAGUCCUUGAUGGAGGUGGUGGUGCUAGUCCUUGAUGGAGGUGGCGGUGCUAGUCCUUGAUGGAGGUGGUGGUGCUAGUCCUUGAUGGAGGUGGUGGUGCUAGUCCUUGCUGGAGGUGGUGGUGCCGGUGAUAGUCCUUGAUGGAGGUGGUGGUCCUAGUCCUUGCUGGAGGUGGUGGUGCCGGUGCUAGUCCUUGAUGGAGGUGGUGGUGCUAGUCCUUGAUGGAGGUGGUGGUGCUAGUCCUUGAUGGAGGUGGUGGUGCUAGUCCUUGAUGGAGUUUGUGGUGCCGGUGCUAGUCCUUGAUGGAGGUGGUGGUGCUAAUCCUUGAUGGAGGUGCCGGUGCUAGUCCUUGAUGGAGGUGGUGGUGCUAGUCCUUGAUGGAGGUGGUGGUGCCGGAGCUGCUAGUCCUUGAUGGAGGUGCCGAUGCUAGUCCUUGAUGGAGGUGCCGGUGCUAGUCCUUGAUGGAGGUGCCGGUGCUAGUCCAUGAUGGAGGUGGUGGUGCUAGUCCUUGAUGGAGGUGGUGGUGCCGGAGCUGCUAGUCCUUGAUGGAGGUGCCGGUGCUAGUCCAUGAUGGAGGUGGUGGUGCUAGUCUUUGAUGGAGGUGGUGGUGCUAGUUCUUGAUGGAGGUGGUGGUGCUAGUCCUUGAUGCAGGUGGUGGUGCUAGUCCUUGAUGGAGGUGGUGGUGCUAGUCCUUGAUGCAGGUGGUGGUCCUAGUCCUUGAUGGAGGUGGUGGUCCUAGUCCUUGAUGCAGGUGGUGGUGCUAGUCCUUGAUGGUGGUGGUGGUGCCGGAGCUGCUAGUCCUUGGAGGUGCCGAUGCUAGUCCUUGAUGGAGGUUGUGGUGCUAGUCCUUGAUGGAGGUUGUGGUGCCGGUGCUAGUCCUUGAUGGAGGUGGUGGUGCUAGUCCUUGAUGGAGGUGGUGGUGCUAGUCCUUGAUGGAGGUUGUGGUGCCGGAGAUGCUAGUCCUUGCUGGAGGUGGUGGUGCCAUUGCUAGUCCUUGAUAGAGGUGGUGGUCCUAGUCCUUUCUGGAGGUGGUGGUGCCGUUGCUAGUCCUUGAUGGAGGUGGUGGUGCUAGUCAUUGAUGGAGUUGGUGGUGCUAGUCCUUGAUGGAGGUGGUGGUGCUAGUCCUUGAUGGAGGUGCCGUUGCUAGUCCUUGAUGGAGGUGGUGGUCCUAGUCCUUGAUGGAGGUGGUGGUGCUAGUCCUUGCUGGAGGUGGUGGUGCCGUUGCUAGUCCUUGAUGGAGGUGGAGGUGCUAGUCAUUGAUGGAGUUGGUGGUGCCGGUGCCAUUCCUUGCUUGAACUGCUGUACACGUUCUCAACACAACCACUGAGUUUCGUCUCCUGUCCCAGGCAAUGUGGACUUCAUAUUGAUUAAUAAUACACUAAGGUGUCACAGUAAAAGUCCUCCUCCCCAGCUCGACAGAGAGUGAGAAGGAUACAAGGGGGGGAUAUUUUAACUGUGACUCAUAUUCAGACAGGCAGAUAGAUUAAAUUGCUGCUAAAAAAGUGCAGACGGCUCUAUGAAGAAAGUUUCCCUGAGCAAACUAAACUCGGUGUGACUUACUCAGACCGGUCUGAUACUCUGUGUGCAUGUACGUGUGCGCGUGCUCCAAAGAGCGAGAAGCUAGGAGAUGGAGACAGG
rnacentral:lncRNA from 1 species